AGUGAACGCUGGCGGUAGGCCUAACACAUGCAAGUCGAACGGCAGCACAGUAAGAGCUUGCUCUUACGGGUGGCGAGUGGCGGACGGGUGAGGAAUACAUCGGAAUCUACUUUUUCGUGGGGGAUAACGUAGGGAAACUUACGCUAAUACCGCAUACGACCUACGGGUGAAAGCAGGGGAUCUUCGGACCUUGCGCGAUUGAAUGAGCCGAUGUCGGAUUAGUUAGUUGGCGGGGUAAAGGCCCACCAAGGCGACGAUCCGUAGCUGGUCUGAGAGGAUGAUCAGCCACACUGGAACUGAGACACGGUCCAGACUCCUACGGGAGGCCGCAGUGGGGAAUAUUGGACAAUGGGCGCAAGCCUGAUCCAGCCAUACCGCGUGGGUGAAGGAGGCCUUCGGGUUGUAAAGCCCUUUUGUUGGGAAAGAAAAGCAGCAGGUUAAUACCCCGCUGUUCUGACGGUACCCAAAGAAUAAGCACCGGCUAACUUCGUG
rnacentral:rRNA from 1 species